GUGUGGCACGGCGGGGAGUCGAUCUGAGAAAUACCGGCGAACUUGAUCUGGAUAAUACCAGCGAAAGGACAUGCUUCUUUGGCACC
rnacentral:ncRNA from 1 species